rnacentral:rRNA from 1 species
UGGGGAAUAUUGCACAAUGGGCGCAAGCCUGAUGCAGCCAUGCCGCGUGUGUGAAGAAGGCCUUCGGGUUGUAAAGCACUUUCAGCGGGGAGGAAGGCGAUAAGGUUAAUAACCUUGUCGAUUGACGUUACCCGCAGAAGAAGCACCGGCUAACUCCGUGCCAGCAGCCGCGGUAAUACGGAGGGUGCAAGCGUUAAUCGGAAUUACUGGGCGUAAAGCGCACGCAGGCGGUCUGUCAAGUCGGAUGUGAAAUCCCCGGGCUCAACCUGGGAACUGCAUUCGAAACUGGCAGGCUAGAGUCUUGUAGAGGGGGGUAGAAUUCCAGGUGUAGCGGUGAAAUGCGUAGAGAUCUGGAGGAAUACCGGUGGCGAAGGCGGCCCACUGGACAAAGACUGACGCUGAGGUGCGAAAGCGUGGGGAGCAAACAGG